rnacentral:lncRNA from 1 species
UCAGACUCAGCCCGCCUGCACCCAGGUGAAAUAAACAGCCUUGUUGCUCACACAAAGCCUGUUUGGUGGGCUCUUCACACGGACGGGAGUGAAAUUUUGGUGCCGUGACUCGGAUCGGGGGACCUCCCUUGGGAGAUCAAUCCCCUGUCCUCCUGCACUUUGCUCCAUGAGAAAGAUCCACCUACGACCUUGGGUCCUCAGACCGACCGGCCCGAGGAACAACUCACCAAUUUUAAAUCGGAAGACAGGAAUGUCAGGAUGCUGAGCCAAAGCUAAGCCAUCAUAUCCCCUGUGACCUGCACGUACGCAUCCAGAUGGCCAGUUCCUGCCUUAACUGAGGACAUAUCACCACAAAAGAAGUGAAAAUGGCCGGUCCUUGCCUUAACUGACGACAUUACCUUGUGAAAUUCCUUCUCCUGGGUCAUCCUGGCUCAAAAGCUCCCCCACUGAGCACCUUGUGACCCCCACCCCUGCCCACCAGAGAACAACCCCCUUUGACUGUAAUUUUCCUUUACCUACCCAAAUCCUAUAAAACGGCCCCACCCCUAUCUCCCUUUGCUGACUCUCUC